UACGUAGGGUGCAAGCGUUUGUCCGGAAUUAUUGGGCGUAAAGAGCUCGUAGGCGGUCUGUCGCGUCUGCUGUGAAAACCUGGGGCUUAACCCCGGGCCUGCAGUGGGUACGGGCAGACUAGAGUGUGGUAGGGGGAGACUGGAAUUCCUGGUGUAGCGGUGAAAUGCGCAGAUAUCAGGAGGAACACCGGUGGCGAAGGCGGGUCUCUGGGCCAUAACUGACGCUGAGGAGCGAAAAGCGUGGGGGAGCGAACAGG
rnacentral:rRNA from 1 species